rnacentral:rRNA from 1 species
AUGAAGGUGCGGCUCAUGAAUUGUGUGCCGUUGUCGGUGAUGAUCCUGUUAGGGAUCCCGAAACGGCAAACAAUCGACCUGAAGAACUUGACUGCUGACUGUGCUGUCACCUUCCUCACUGGUUCCACUUCCGGCCACUUUGUGAACUUGUCGAUUGCAACGUACAGGUACUCAAAGCCCCCGACAGCUCGGGGAAAGGGGCCGAGGAUGUUGAGCCCCCAGACCGAAAAUGGCAUGGAUAAAGGGAUCAUCUGGGAGCUUGAGCUGGCUUGUGUAUCUGCUUGGAAUGGAACUGGCACGCUUCACACUUGGUUACUUGUGCAGUUGCAUCCUGGAGGGCUGUCGGCCAAAAGAAACCUUGUCAGAACGCUUUGCCGGCAAGUGCUCUUGCGCCAAUGUGGUCACCACAUAUGCCUCCAUGUAUCUCUGCCAACAACUUUUGUCCGUCUUCCCGGUGAAUACACUUCAAUUUCACACUGUUGA